GAGCUUGGAGCCAACACAGACUACCCGAUGGACUAUCAGACAACUUCACCAAACCAAAGCUUGGAGCCAACACAGACUACCCGAUAGACUAACAGACAACUUCACCAAACAAAGUAAGUGCAACAACCGCCUCUACAUUUAUUGUCAAUGGGGAAGAUUCCAAAUCUACACAUGUUCAAUGGUGACACUGACAAAUUCCAACUUCCAACUUCCAAAUCCACACAUGUUCAAUGGUCACACUUCC